UAGUAGUCCUUUAGAGGAAGUUUCCACUACCAGCAUUUUUUCUAAAGCUUUUGGUCUAAAUUUUAGGUUACAAGCAAAUGCAUAGGAAAUAAAUGAGUGAGUUACAUCAGUAUCGAUCAAAGCCUUGGCAGGAAUAUUAUGAAUAGAAAGCAUACCUUGGAUGAGAAGAGGAGCAAGAAGGACUUUAUAUCCAUCUAAGUGGUACACUCGACCUUGUCCUAUGGGUCGAACUACAUCCUUUGGUCGCUAAGGGCAGUCUCUUAUAAGGUGUUGGGUGCUUCCACACUGAUAGCAUGCAUUAUUGACAAGCCAAUAAGGUAGGUCACCAUGUGAGCGACAACAAUAUUGACACGGUUGGUUAGUUCGGGCAAGUGGAGCUGUAUAUGGGGGCAAGGGAAAUUCUUGUUCGUUUAUGUAGGGUUACUUACUGGGUCAGGCAAUCUUUUUCUAAGCUGUUGGGGCUGUUGUUGGAAUCAAACUCGGGUAAAAUGUUGGUACUUAACCGAGAUAAGAUCUUCGGUCAACUGGGCAUGUUAAAGCACCUUUGCAUACGAGCUAGGUCUCAGCAUCGCGACCCGGUCGUAAAUGUUAGUACGAAGGCCUUUAAAAAACUUUCUACCUUUUUGGCUUUCGGGAUGAUCAUUAAAAGGGCAAACCUAGACAGUUGAACAAAUCGGGCUGCAUAUUGAGCUACAGACAAGCUUCCUUGACAGAGGUCCUGAAAUUCCUCCUCUUUCUUUUCCUGAACAUAAGUAGGGAAGAAGUUAUCAAAAAAACAUCCAUAAAAACUUUCCAGGUAGUAGGGGUAGGCAGGACUUCUUUUUUAAGUCGCCACUAGUGUUUGGCCUCACUGUUUAACAUGAAGGCUGUAAAAUGAAUUUUUUGUUCUUCGGUCUGGUCUAGUACAGAGAAGAGCUUUCCUAUUUGUAGGAUCCAGACUUUGGCUACUAAAAGAUCAAGGCUUCCUUCAAAGUGUAGGGGUUAAGUUUCUUAAACUCUGUUAUAUUGUGUGAAAUAGACCGAUCUAUGUUUCAGAAUUCAAAGGUAGGGGGGGUUGACCUAGUUUUGUCCUACGGCUACAGUUAAUCCUUGAAUGGCUCAAAAAAGUUCUUUAAAUUAAGCCCUGGUCGGAUGAUCCGGGGCCUCAAGUCAUUCAGCAUGCUCUACAGAUGGUAUUCCCCGCGUCAUUCCUACAAAAGAAAAGAAGACACAAGUUGGAGGCUUAAUCUUUAAAAAGAGGACAUUUAUCUUCUCUGGGUACUGUAAUAGGUUUAUCUAUCCGAGGCCUCAAUACAAGAGAUUUGUUCCACGAUAUUCUGCUUUGAUACCUCCUAAGACAUCCCAGGUGCCAAUUAAGGCAAAUGGGUGUCAGAUACAGAUUCAGAAUAAUGAGUGCAUGAUAAUAUUUAUGCAGUGAAAUUAAACCUUAACAAAUUCCUUACAAAUAUAUAUAUAAUGUUCCAAAUACAUACAUCACUGAGGUCAGAAGUGGCUACGAAAUACAAAAUACAAGGGCCACUUCUUUCACUAUGCUACUAGAGUUCAUCAGAGUGCGGGAACAGUCAUGCACUGAGAUUUGUGGAUCCAUUGAAUCCUUAUAGACUUCCAAGGGUAGGUUUGCCUGUGGUUCCUCAUUUUCUUCCUCUUCUGGGGGCGAUGGAAAGAGUGAGUUCCAUAUGCUCAAGAAGAAAAAUAAUAUUAAAUUAACAUCAUAAGAUUUCAAAAGUUUAUCAUUUUUUUCUCACCGUUUAGCUUCAUUGUUUACCUAACUCAUCAUUAGAAAAGGGAACCAUUUAUUUAAAUAUCAAAAUAGUAUGUUAGCACAAAAAAUCAAAUAUACAUAUAUCAUACCAAAUAAUAGAGAAACUCAAAUAACUCAUGAAAUGCAAUGAUUUUUCGUGUCAUGCUUUGCGAAGUCGUUACAAACUUACAUCUCUGAGGGCAGAUAAAGAUUUCCAACUGCUCAAAUGGAAUGACUAGAUCAGAUACAGAUACGGCAAUUUGCUCAGGCCCACUUUCGAUUGGCCAAACUAUGGUACAAUCUAUGACCACAGUCAUACAAACCAUAGUGGUCCUAAGAGAUAUCUAUAGUCAGGAUAUUACUUAGUCACGGGUGACCCCCACAAAUAGUGUAAUACCACUCUCAGCAAAAGGCACGCCAUCAUCCACUAGGAGUGGUCCUUUUAUAUCUUUCCAAACUAGAUAGGGAAGGGAGAAAUAGAUACCCCGAAGGGCAAGGGGAAUAAAUAACCCUUAGAGAUAAAAACCUAACGAGACACUUGGUGCAAUACGCAUGUCAAUUAAAAUACACUUCAGACAUUCCACCUUUUUCUUUUUCUUUUCUUUUUAUUUUUACUAUUACGAACUACAUAUUACAUAUAUUACAUGCAAAUUCAUCAAACAUUAGUAAUUCACAUCGCAGGUUUGAAAAUCAGAACAAUUCGACUCAUUUGAACACAGAUGCAUAUAAAACAGACAAAAUAACAAUCAUAUUAAAUUACUUAUCUAAAAAUACUCCUUAAGACUUUGAAAGUAAUACUAGAUUCCUUACCGAAACCUCGAUGUUUUCUUCUUUACUAUCUUCUCUUUUUCUCUUACUAAGUUGCUAUCUCUCUCUCUCUCUAAACCUUUAAAAAAUGGAAGAAAUGGAAGUGUGGAGAUGAAGGGAAGGGGAAGGGCAAUUUAUAGAAUUUAUGAACUGUUGGAUUCGC
rnacentral:lncRNA from 1 species